GACGAACGCUGGCGGCGUGCUUAACACAUGCAAGUCGAACGGAAAGGCCCUGCUUUUGUGGGGUGCUCGAGUGGCGAACGGGUGAGUAACACGUGAGUAACCUGCCCUUGACUUUGGGAUAACUUCAGGAAGCUGGGGCUAAUACCGGAUAGGAGCUCCUGCUGCAUGGUGGGGGUUGGAAAGUUUCGGCGGUUGGGGAUGGACUCGCGGCUUAUCAGCUUGUUGGUGGGGUAGUGGCUUACCAAGGCUUUGACGGGUAGCCGGCCUGAGAGGGUGACCGGCCACAUUGGGACUGAGAUACGGCCCAGACUCCUACGGGAGGCAGCAGUGGGGAAUAUUGCACAAUGGGCGGAAGCCUGAUGCAGCAACGCCGCGUGCGGGAGGACGGCCUUCGGGUUGUAAACCGCUUUCGCCUGUGACGAAGCGUGAGUGACGGUAAUGGGUAAAGAAGCACCGGCUAACUACGU
rnacentral:rRNA from 1 species